UCUAUCUCAUUUACAUUAAUUUGUUAUCUCUCUCUUUCACACAUCAGAAGAAGCAUUCCAAUGUACAAUUGCAUUUUUAGUCAGAGUUAGAAAUGAUAGUCAUGACUGCAGUUGCUUGAAAACAUGACAUGGUCUGGUAAUACAAAAAGUGUUCGGGAGUAAUAAGCAGAUUAUUAUUAUGUAAUUUUGUUUGUAUCCUCUUUUUGUUCUCUAGCUACUCGUUUUGAGGCAGCUCGUAAACUUAAUGCGUUACUGAGGGAAAAUGAACCAGCAGACCUGACCAAGAGGGCACCAGUCCACCCUAAAAACAAUCAGGAUGAUUCUGAUGACUCAGAUCCAGAUGACACUCAGAUUCUGUUGCAGCCUUUGCAAGUCAAGAAGUCAAAGGCUCUCACAAGGAAAGACCCUGCAAAGGAAUUCCUUGCAAUGUACAGUCAUUCACCGCUUUCAGUCACUGACUGUGACCAAAGUCCAAAAAAGGAUGAACUUAAGCGAGAGAUCCAAGACCUGAAAGAAGAGAAUGCCAAACUGAGGGAGUUGCUUGUAGAAGAUGUGCCCAAACUCAUGAAGACUAUGAAAAAUGUGAUUGAUUUAGCUGACCCUCUUAAGAGAUCAAGUUUUGAGCUCCCCCAGAGUUCUACACAGUCCAGGCCGGGUUCAUCAUCUGAUGAUUCACAGAUGCCCAUUUCCAAAUCUGUUCCAUCUGUCUCAUCAGAGUCUGUCACUCCAUCUACAAGAGAGUCCCAGUCGUCAAAGGUGGAGAUCCAUCC